UCCCAUUCCGAACAGAGAAGUUAAGCUCACUCACGCCGAUGGUACUGCGAUACAAUGUGGGAGAGUAGGUAGCCGCCGUUU
rnacentral:rRNA from 1 species